rnacentral:rRNA from 1 species
GACGAACGCUGGCGGCGUGCUUAACACAUGCAAGUCGAACGGAAAGGCCCUGCUUUUGUGGGGUGCUCGAGUGGCGAACGGGUGAGUAACACGUGAGUAACCUGCCCUUGACUUUGGUAUAACUUCAGGAAACUGGGGCUAAUACCGGAUAGGAGCUCCUGCUGCAUGGUGGGGGUUGGAAAGUUUCGGCGGUUGGGGAUGGACUCGCGGCUUAUCAGCUUGUUGGUGGGGUAGUGGCUUACCAAGGCUUUGACGGGUAGCCGGCCUGAGAGGGUGACCGGCCACAUUGGGACUGAGAUACGGCGCAGACUGCUACGGGAGGCAGCAGUGGGGAAUAUUGAACAAUGGGCGGAAGCCUGAUGCAGCAACGCCGCGGGCGGGAUGACGGUCUUCGGGUUGUAAACCGCUUUAGCCUGUGACGAAGCGUGAGUGACGGUAAUGGGUAAAGAAGCACCGGCUAACUACGUG